rnacentral:rRNA from 1 species
AACAGCUAAAAAUUCAAAAGACUUGACAGCAUCUCACACCAACCUAGAGGAGCCUGUCCUAUAAUCGACAACCCACGCUUUACCCUACCCCCCCACGCAUAAUCAGCCUAUAUACCGCCGUCGCCAGCACGCCUGAUAACAGCAACCAAAGCGAGUACAAUGACUUAUACCGCACAUACGACAGGUCAAGGUGUAGCUUAUGGGGCGGAAGAGAUGGGCUACACUACCCCACAAUGGAGCACCAAACUGAUAUGAAAACAACACGCAAAGCCGGAUUUAGAAGUAAGUGG